rnacentral:rRNA from 1 species
UACGAACCGUCCAAACGUUAUUCGGAAUCACUGGGCUUACAGAGUUCGUAGGCGGUCUGGAAAGUUGGGUGUGAAAUCCCUCGGCUCAACCGAGGAACUGCGCUUGAUACUGCCAGACUCGAGGGAGAUAGAGGAAAGCGGAACUGAUGGUGGAGCGGUGAAAUGCGUUGAUAUCAUCGGGAACACCGGUGGCGAAGGCGGCUUUCUGGGUCUUACCUGACGCUGAGGAACGAGAGCUAGGGGAGCAAACAGG